UACGUAGGGUGCGAGCGUUGUCCGGAAUUAUUGGGCGUAAAGAGCUCGUAGGCGGCUUGUCGGGUCGGAUGUGAAAGCCCGGGGCUUAACUCCGGGUCUGCAUUCGAUACGGGCAGGCUAGAGUGUGGUAGGGGAGAUCGGAAUUCCUGGUGUAGCGGUGAAAUGCGCAGAUAUCAGGAGGAACACCGGUGGCGAAGGCGGAUCUCUGGGCCAUUACUGACGCUGAGGAGCGAAAGCGUGGGGAGCGAACAGG
rnacentral:rRNA from 1 species